rnacentral:rRNA from 1 species
UACGAAGGGGGGCUAGCGUUGUUCGGAUUUACUGGGCGUAAAGCGCACGUAGGCGGAUCGUUAAGUCGGGGGGUGAAAUCCUGGAGCUCAACUCCAGAACUGCCUUCGAUACUGGCGAUCUUGAGUCCGGAAGAGGUGAGUGGAACUCCUAGUGUAGAGGUGGAAUUCGUAGAUAUUAGGAAGAACACCAGUGGCGAAGGCGGCUCACUGGUCCGGUACUGACGCUGAGGUGCGAAAGCGUGGGGAGCAAACAGGG